ensembl:snoRNA U3 Small nucleolar RNA U3
AAGACUAUACUUGCAGGGAUCAUUUCUGUAGUUGGUUACUAGAGAAGUUUCUUGUCUGUAGUCGGUUAUUAGAGAUCUGUACCUAAUUUUAAAAGA